AAUAUUAUUAUUUUUUAUUUAUAACUACCUACUUUAAUUCUUAUUCCAUCUUACCUAAUCAAACGUUAUUUUUCUUAUUUCUAGGAAUAACCUAAUUUUCAUCCAAACACAAAAUUGAUCUAAUCCCCGCUUAUAUCUCAAUUUAUAUCUAUCCCUGAAAUAACCACUUUUUGCUUAUUUCCGAACCAAACGAUACCCUAGAGCGUAUUUCUAGGUGUCUGUAGAUAGGACUGGAUUACAUAGGAAUGGACUAUGUCAGACUACACAUUAAUUACUUGUAGUUAUUUGUAUUGUAUUGUUGACUAUUCCUUUGUUAUAUGCAUGAUUAGAAAUUUAGUUGUGCUAUUUUGAUCUAAGCCUCAAGAGGUGUUUUCUUCUUUUUUUUUUUUUCUUUUUUUUUUUCUUCUGAAGCCUUGCAUUUUUGUAGGAUUCAAAUUUGAAAUUUAGAUUUGAAUCGUUUGAAGGUACAAUAAUCGCGUCCUGAACAGAGAGAGUUUGGGUCGCGACAUUGUUGAUGUACAAGUAAUAUGUUGUUAUCCUAAUCAUUAUCGCAUCAUGAAUCGCUAUAUCACUUUCGUGUUAGUGACACGUCAGAAUUUAAGCAAUUAAAUUAAAUUGUGAAACUUAACUGUAAUAAUCUAGCCUAAAAUUAAAUAGAAAAAAAAUUAUAUGUUUAAUAUUAAAAUUAAAUAUAU
rnacentral:lncRNA from 1 species